ensembl:lncRNA
CCUCCUGUCCCCUGUACAGCGUGACCCUCUUGAUGUGCUUCCCAGAGCAAGGAUUUCUGUCUCCCCAGAGCAUCCCUCCUUCCAUCCAAGCACCCAACCCAGCCUGAGCAGGGCGCAGAGAGAAGGUCCCCGGAGCCUGGCUGUGCUGGGCAGGGCUGGGGAGGGGGGCUGAAGCCCCUGAGGCUGAGCUGGGACCAGCCUGUCCCCUGCUCUGAGUGCCAGAGUUGUGAGGAGGUGCUGGGGACAGGCUGGGGAGGGUGAGGGGGGACCUGUGCAGUCCCCACACAUGGAAGGAGUGGAGCAGGGGUUGCCAGGAGGGGCAGAGGGGUCUGGGCAGCCCCGUGCCCCAUUGUCUGCUCUCUAUCCCAGUAGAAAAUGAGAGCAGGGGCCAGCAGUGUGCCCUUGGGGUCACGGCUCAUCCCGAGAUGCUGCUGCUGUGCCUGGGCUACUGGCACUGGGAUCCCCUGUGCUGCCAGUCUCCUCCUUGCAAGCUCAUGCUCCUCAGGGACUGUCCCAGGCUGCUCAGAGGUCAGUGGCCAAGGCCAUGAGCCCACCCAGUGUCCUGGAGCUUUGUGGUGUUUUGCAAUCAUUGACGGCUCUUGGUGUGCAAGGGUUCGACCCUUCUGCUCUCGGGCUGUUUUUGGGUCUGAGCAUCUCAGCCCAAAGUGCUGGGCUGAGUGCUUUGUGCUAGUUUCCUUCUUGGGGAGGGUGACUGUGGUGGAAGAUGCCCUGCCGAUGUGUCAGACUGGGCAGUGCUGGGGGUGGGAGCGUGGCCAGUGCUGCCCCAGCCUUCCCACAGGGGUGCUCCACACCCACUGUGGGGCCUCCAGGAGCUGUGCCCUGUCAGCUCCUCCACCUGUGCUUCUCAGAGAGCUGGGAUUGAUGGCUGCUCACGGCAGGUAAGGCUCAGCAGGCUCCAGCAGAGCCCGGACACACGCCGGGUGAUGGACACCCGUAACCGGCUGUUCUCCCGCUCCAGCAACGCCGUGGGGAUGCUCCAGAGCAGCACGACACAACUGGGGCACAGUUAAUGGGCACAUCCAUCAAUUCACCCACCAUGGAGACACGAGGGAAGCUCUGCCAGCCACCCUCCACCGCGCUGCCCUUCACUCCAGGCUGCGAGUGCCGGUGCAUCCCAAUUCCUCACACAAGCAGGGUCUGGCCACACGCUGCCCCAGGGCACUGCCACCACCUCUUUGCACCUUCCAGCCCUGCCUUGCCCCCUUCCCAGCCCAGCAGCAGUGCCAGUGCGAUGAGCUCUCCCAGUGUCCCUGCCCCUGUGCCCUGGACACUUCAGAGUGGGGUCAGCGCUGCGGAAAACUUCCAGCUUCCCGUGGCACCUGUCACUCCCUGAGGAAAGGCACCCAAAUCACCUCCACUGUCCUGCUGACACAGUCCUGCAGCUCUGGGCUGCUGCUGGAGGGUGCAGCUGAUUGAUCCCUGGCCCGCGGCAGGGAACAACUUUGCCGUGCAGGAGGAGCAGCUCCCCAGAGGAGGAGGUGGGGUUAUCCCCACCCAGCUUUGGGGGACCAAAUGCAGCUGGAGGUAAAGGGGGUGGGAGAUCCCUUGGCACUUUCAGGAUGCUUGUUAAAGUGUUGCUGGCAAAAAAGUUGAGGAGAGCAGUGGGAUCACAGAGGAGACCCCGUGGGACACAACAAGG